CAGCCGCCGCGGUAAUACGUAGGUGGCGAGCGUUGUCCGGAAUUACUGGGCGUAAAGAGCGCGUAGGCGGUUUUUUAAGUCAGAUGUGAAAAUCCAGGGCUUAACUCUGGGCGUGCAUUUGAAACUGGGGAACUAGAGUGCAGGAGAGGUAAGUGGAAUUCCUAGUGUAGCGGUGAAAUGCGUAGAUAUUAGGAGGAACACCAGUGGCGAAGGCGACUUACUGGACUGUAACUGACGCUGAGGCGCGAAAGCGUGGGUAGCGAACAGGAUUAGAUACCCUGGUAGUCCACGCCGUAAACGAUGGAUACUAGGUGUGGGAGGUAUCGACCCCUUCCGUGCCGCAGUAAACGCAAUAAGUAUCCCGCCUGGGGAGUACGGCCGCAAGGUUGAAACUCAAAGGAAUUGACGGGGGCCCGCACAAGCAGCGGAGCAUGUGGUUUAAUUCGAAGCAACGCGAAGAACCUUACCAGGACUUGACAUCCCCUGCAUAACUCGUAACGGAGGAAGUCCUUCGGGACAGGGAGACAGGAGGUGCAUGGCC
rnacentral:rRNA from 1 species